GAGCUAUUGCCCCCCGCCCUGAACCUAAAGGCCUACAAGAGCAAACUCCCCCGUGACUCAUGACUCGGGGCUGCUCUCUCUUCUGCAUAGGAUGAGGCAGUCACUGUGCAGCUAAUAAAGCUCUCAAUUGGAACUUUAGUCAGAGUCUGAGUCUGGUUGAUAUCGCUGGUCUAUAACAUUUGGAGGCCCCAGAGAGACAGAUUGACAAGACCCCCCCACUCCAGCAGGGCUGAUCUCCUCAGACUCAGGGAGACAGGUUCGUUCUGGGGACAGACCGGCGGUCUAGGGGAAGGCCUUGGAGAGACGUUCCUCCACCCUGGACGUCGCCCGGCCCUGGAACUUGUCUCCACCUAAAUUCUAUCUGGAGAGCGUCAGGAGUUCCUGGGUCCAGGAUCAGCAAACGGGAUGUCCCUAGGGGAGUUAUACGCAAAACUUCUGGUAAAAUCCGCGACUCUGCACAGGAGAAAGAAGCGCAGCGUGGGACCAUAGAUAGCGGCUGGAGGUCAAAGGUGGCGGCUGCGGGAAGACCGAGGGCUCUCGCUGGAGUUCUCCAUUUCUGGUUCCCCACUGGUUCCCCACUGGUUCGCGACUGGCUGCUGCUGGUGGCGCUACCCUUCUGCACCUCUGCACCUCCACCCUUCCGGCGCACAGCGCCCCCAGCCUGCUCCGCAGGUGAACCGUGA
rnacentral:lncRNA from 1 species